UUUCCAGAGAUGGAUUGGUGCCUUCGGGAACCGUGAGACAGGUGCUGCAUGGCUGUCGUCAGCUCGUGUUGUGAAAUGUUGGGUUAAGUCCCGCAACGAGCGCAACCCUUAUCCUUUGUUGCCAGCGAUUCGGUCGGGAACUCAAAGGAGACUGCCAGUGAUAAACUGGAGGAAGGUGGGGAUGACGUCAAGUCAUCAUGGCCCUUACGACCAGGGCUACACACGUGCUACAAUGGCGCAUACAAAGAGAAGCGACCU
rnacentral:rRNA from 1 species